UGGCUUCACUUAUUCAGACCCGGAGAUCGGAACAGACACAAAUGGAAUGCAAUUGUUUUUAAUGUUUUUCCUGCUGAGACAUGCCAAAUAUCUGCUGUGAAAAAGGUCUAUAGGGCAAACAACAGUAUUCAUUAACCAAUGCUUUGCAACAGGAAACUAAAGUAAAGUAAAAAAAUAAAAUAAAAUAAAUAAAAAUGUGCAUGUGUGGAGUCCUAACCACUGAAAUGUCAUCGACAAAGUCAAGUAACAGCUUCUCCUGUUUGCAGAGGCAGAGUGUCUGCAGAGAGCAGUGGAAGGGAAAGCUGCCUCUGAUGAAGAGGAGGAGGACAGAGGGAUGAGGGAGGAAGGACAGUGCUGCCUGUUGGAGGUGAAGAAACACCGACUGCACGGCUGUGGAAACGGGUUAGCUAACAUCUAACACACCGCCACUGUGGACACGCUUUUCCACUCCAAAUGUCAGAAGUCACUUCUUCUUUUUUUCUUCCUCCAGAUGUCAGAACCAUGUGAGUCACCUGCAUGAUAAAAACCUCAUCAGCACUUUAAAGGACAGCAGGGGGCGCUGCAGCCGGAAGGGACAACACCAAGAGCAGUCAGAGGGAAGCAGAGGCUUUGAAAAAGAAAAGAGGCCGAAAGAAGAGGAGGACAAGACAAGGCCGGAGGAGAAAGAAAACACACGUCUGUCUUUGCUUGAGGACAAACUCACAGAUGCCCUCACACUGCUGCUGCGGCUACGCAACAAGAACAUGACCCGCAGGGCCCUGGGGAAGAUAGUGAUGGAUACUCUGGAUGUGUGCAGGAGUGGAGAUGGUCCAUCUCAGGUGUUGCAGUUAGCUGACGCCCUCUGUGUCCGGCUGUCUUCCAGGGAUCUCCUUGGAAACGGAGAGGAUGAUGAAGGAGGAGAGAGCAGAGAGAAAGCCCAGGAUCCAUCUUCAGGAUGUCAAACCAGCAGCAUCAACCCUCUGCUCAUCUCCUGUUAGAUAAAGGUUCUACAUGUAACUUUCAGAAUAAAGCUUGUUGCUUGUUAUUAAUGACACCGGUGGCCGUUAAGUGAACUGCAGUCAGCAUCCUGCUGCACGCGCUCACACUCCGAGUCCGUAGGCAUCCUGGGCAUGGACCAAAAUAAUGACGUGACACACACGAGACUGAGCGUGAUUAACCGGCAUCAUGUUGAUAGAUUGCUGGAGAAAAAAAUAAUAAUAUUUAGUAUACAAUUACUAUCUGUAAUGUUCCAAUAUUGUAUUUGGACAAUGUGGCUCCAGCACACACUUCAUGAGUCCACGCAUAUGUUGUGGUUUUAGCUGGCUAAUGUUAGCUAACACUAGUUUACUUCCUAACGUGGACGAAUUGCUAGCUAGCUAAUGUAGCAAAAUACUGUCUUGAGUGCGCUGAUUCAUCCAGACUCCCGGGGCUGAUCUGGCUGGUAAAUUGGCUCGCUUGCCGCUUGCAAAUUACUUUAUCAGCUAACGUUACGAAGCAACCAACGGCAGAUUUAUGUCGCGUAGCUAGGUUACAGCCAGCUGGCUGUUGCACAGAAUGCACACUGUUGGCAAGGCAACCGGGAGCGAGCAUUACGUCACAUGCUUUGGAUUGUCCCAGAUAAACGUCCCAAGUCCUUUACAUAGAUAUCACAGGCUGUUAUAGGCAACCAGUAAAGACGGGACAUGUCUCAGUUAUAAAGCGACGUUACAAUCUACUCAUUGGCAAAACAAAGCAAUUACAUCAUGCUAAAGGUUACAUAUAGAACCUUUAACUGAGCUACUACUGUAGUAUUUAUCCUUUUCCUCUUUUAUCUCUGGCUUGUUUGCACACAUGUACUUUUCCCAGUUGUGGAACUGGUUCAACGUAUUUAAAGAUACAUUUUAUUUACUCUCUUUGUGUUCUAUUUUGUAUCUA
rnacentral:lncRNA from 1 species